rnacentral:snoRNA from 1 species
GCUGAGGUCUAUCCCGACACAUCUUUAACUGUAGGGUCGUGUCGUUGGAAAUGCCUCACAGAGCAAAUCUGCAGUUUGGCUUUACCCACAUGUUCACUGCCAUGGGCAUGCUGGGAUAUUACCGCAGAACACAA